GUAUGUGGAGCAGAUCCAACUACCGCCUGUCUCUCUGUGAAUGGUGAAUAAUUAUUCGGCAUUACUUGAUUAUUUCACAUCAGGGGCAUUUUUACAUAAAAGUGCUGUUAAAGGUCAGACAUCUCAGGGUUGAACAGAACUGAAAGCCUCUGAUAACGAGAGCAGCAGAGAUUGCCAUUUGCUUUGGCCUCCACCAACUGAAAGCAGAACAGAAUCGUACUCUCGGGGAAACGCAAAGCUGCUCUUUCUUUCAUUGCUCAACAGCACCUGUCAGCAGUCAACAGGACACUGGAAAUGAAGGUGAAACAGCUGAUUCCAGUGGACCACUUACCCACAAUCUUUGAAACCCACGAUGAAGGGUAUCACGACACUCUGUACGGUAAAGGUUCAGGUCUCAGCAGUGACUGCCAUCCUCCUCAAACUCAGGAUGACUACCUGAAAUCUAUCUGCCAGCUGGCACAGCCCACCUUCCUCUUUGACACUUCUUCAAAGACCCAGAACGCAGGUUAUGCGAACACUUUGCCCAACUCUGCGAAACAGACCACCAGCCAUAGACACAAGGCUGAGCUUCCUUCACCUGUAUCCCUACAGAGCAACAGCAAAAAAGACAAUUGUUUUGUGUGCGCGUUGGCGGACGCUUUCUCUCUGGACACAAUUACUAUUGCAGUGAGCAGCAGUCGGACGCCGAGUAAUAACGCUGACCCAUUUUCAUGGCUCUUUGGGCGAUCACAUAUAGAAAUCCAUGGAAGAAUUAACCGACCAUUUCCACAACAACGUUCUCUGCCUGUUUAUACCAACGAAGCCAAAAGUUCCAGGAAGACACGCUGGCUCUCACUUGAUCACAUGGUCAUGGCAGAAAAUGGCCUUCACAGAAAACAACCACAAGUGCGUGGCAAGAUCCCAUCAACAGGAUGCUCCACCAAUAUUAGAAAAGGAAAGCCUGCGUCUUCUGAAUAUUUUUUCCAUUAUCAUCAAGGUGGUAACGAACAGGGCAGUGCUUCCAAUUGCAAUAGAGAUUCCAACAAUUCUCGAACAUAGAAAGAUCCGAGAUUCUGAAAGUCUUAGGCACUAUCAACUACAAAGCAAAAAGAACUGAGCAACUUUCACUCUCCAGUCAAGAUCACCGAUUCAGUGAAGAGAAAGGCAACUCUACUCCUCUCAGUUAUCAGUACUACAUUCCCAUUAGGAAUCUAGAUUGAAUGCGUCACAACCAAAGAGAUUCCAUUUGAAAUUAAUUUGUUGUCUUAGCCCCAGUUCUGAGCAAAAUGUGGACACAGCUCCUAAUUUGGGCACUUCAUCCAUUUUUCAAAUUAUCCUAUCGCAAUUGCUCCACUCUCCCUCAUGUACAUUGUCUUUAUGCUCAGGGGUCCCUGUAAACCCCUUUACAAGUGAGCCUUGAAGUAUAUAAUUAUCUAGAUACACUGCCCUCUUUACCAAUGGGAAUCCUGACUGCACAGUAUACUGGGAAUCAGCUGUCUUCCUGAAGCCGUGGCGACUCUCAACAUUACACCAAAAAUCCAAGUAUUUGAAGACUCCACAAACCUAAUAAGUUAAAAAUCAUUUCCUGAUGUAAGUUUAAUCUAAAGGGUAGGAUUGGAAACCUGCAGUGUUGUUUGGUUUAACAUGCACCUAAUGUUAUUCCAAUGGACAAUACAGUCAAACAGGGUGAAAAAUGUGUUGCACCAAAUCUCAUGGUUUUCCCAAUGGUUGGAUCGAGUUAAAAUUGACUCCACCUACCCAGCAUUCACUCUGUUGGAACAGACAGUCUUACCUGAUGGCAGACUCUGUUGGUUUCUGUUUAACCAGGCAUGUAUUCAUCCUGCUUUGAGUUGGUAGGUACAAAAUGGAGUUUCAUUAUGAAUGCUUGGCUGAAUUCCAAGACUCUUGAUGGUUUGUAAGUCAUUUUUAUUCAGGUUAAAGGGGACUUUUAGCUUUAUUUAAUCAAUAGUUCAUAUGCUUGUAAUAACCUUUGAAAUGCCUUUUCACUAUUUGUUUGUUUAGUCAAGAUGGUUAUUAAGAAGAAGAUUCAAGCUUUUCUUGAUGGAAUUAUGACUGGCUGUGUUUAACUACUUUAUUAACAUGUUAGCCAAUUUACUUAUUCUGCCAGUUUAGGACAAUUUCAAUUGUCUCUGUUAUGGGUUAAUGGGUUUUGUACCCCAUGGACAUUAAAUGAAUAUGAAAAUCAAACCACUGAGUGUCUGACACAUUAAUAUUUGAUUCUCCAUACUGUAGAAUGGGGAACGACAUGUUCUCCAUUGGAAAGACUAUUCCAGUGCAUCUAAACACUUUCACAA